rnacentral:rRNA from 1 species
AUUGAACGCUGGCGGCAGGCCUAACACAUGCAAGUCGAGCGAGCGGCGGACGGGUGAGUAAUGUAUGGGGACUGCCCGAUAGAGGGGGAUAACUACUGGAAACGGUGGCUAAUACCGCAUACUAUAGUCUAACCCAUAUGGGAUUAGCUAGUAGGUAGGGUAAAGGCUCACCUAGGCGACGAUCUCUAGCUGUACUGAGAGGAUGAUGAGCCACACUGGGACUUAAACACGGCCCAGACUCCUACGGAGGUAGCAGUGGGGAAUAUUGCACAAGGGGCGCAAGCCUGAUGAAGCCAUGCCGCGUGUAUGAAGAAGGCCUUAGGGUUGUAAAGUACUUUCAGCGGGGAGGCGUUACCCGCAGAAGAAGCACCGGCUAACUCAGUGCCAGCCGCCGCGGUAAUAC